rnacentral:rRNA from 1 species
AUUGAACGCUGGCGGCAGGCCUAACACAUGCAAGUCGAGCGGAGCGGCGGACGGGUGCGUAAGGCCUAGGAAUCUGCCUGGUCGUGGUGGAUAAGGUCCGGAAAUGGGCGCGAAUGCUGCAUACUAUCAGUAGAGCCUAGGUCGGAUUAGCUAGUGGGAGGGGUAAAGGCCUACCAAGGCGACGGUCCGUAACUGGGCCGAGUGGAUGAUCAGUCACACUGGAACUGAGAAACGGUCCAGACUCCUACGGGAGGCAGCAGUGGGGAAUAUUGGACAAUGGGCGAAAGCCUGAUGCAGCCAUGCCGCGUGUGUGAAGAAGGUCUUCGGAUUGUAAAGCACUUUAAGUUGGGAGGCGUUACCAGCAGAAUAAGCACCGGCUAACUCCGUGCCAGCAGCCGCGGUAAUAC